rnacentral:rRNA from 1 species
UCCUACGGGGGGCAGCAAUUAGGAAUCUUGCGCAAUGGGGGAAACCCUGACGCAGCGACGCCGCGUGAAGGAUGACGGCCUUCGGGUUGUAAACUUCUUUUAAGAGGGAAGAAGUAAGUGACGGUACCUCUUGAAUAAGCCCCGGCUAACUACGUGCCAGCAGCCGCGGUAAUACGUAGGGGGCGAGCGUUGUCCGAAGUUACUGGGCGUAAAGCGCGCGUAGGCGGACUAUUAAGUUGGAUGUGAAAUCUCCGGGCUCAACUCGGAAACCGCAUCCAAAACUGGCAGUCUUGAGGUAUGGAGAGGGAAGUGGAAUUCCUGGUGUAGCGGUGAAAUGCGUAGAUAUCAGGAGGAACACCCGUGGCGAAGGCGGCUUCCUGGCCAUAUCCUGACGCUGAGGUGCGAAAGCUAGGGGAGCGAACGGGAUUAGAUACCCGUGUAGUCC